GCUACUCUUUUAAAAGAGUAAAUACUCUAGAUUAAAAUGUUGAAAGAUGAAAAUGGAAUCAAGACAGGAUUUGGAUUGAAAUCAAAUAAAUUAUGCGUGGUUGGCAAAAGACAGGCUGAAUCUUAAAUACGUCCCUUCCAACGAGAUACUGAGCUGAUAAUGUCAGUACAUUUCACAUCCCAAGUUGAUCUUGCCCUAAGUUGAUCUGGUGUGUUUACUGUUUUUUGCCGCUGUUGUCCUGUUUAACAAUUGUGUGUUUAAUUAUUUUUUACUCUUCAGAUAAAAGUUGAUCAUGUCGUUAUAUAUCAUAUCCCAAGUUGGUCAUUAUCGUGUGCCUGUCUAUUUUGGCCGCUUCUGUUCCCUUUCAACGCCAUGGCUGCUUCUGCUCCUGUUCUGCUUCUGAUUUACAGUUGACUGGUCCCUAUUAACUAUUCUCCUUGGUUCAAUCUUGCUUUACAUGAGGGUGUGAAAAGUGGCAGUGAGAAGAAGGGGAAGGAGAAGGCCGUCCACGAGGAGCAACCAAAAAUAAAAUCUGGAAUUUGCAAGACAGAAAAAUCUGAGACAAUGGAGAAGGAUUAAGUUAAUAGGACCACUCAACUGUUGUGAGGAGGCAACGGUUUCCUAGAGACUCUUAAAUUUGUUACCCUGAGAGGCAUUUUAUGUUUAAUUCUAGAUUUCCUCGGGGUUUUCGUACCAUUAUCUGUAUUUCAAAUCUUUUUUUGCCGAGGUUCCGGGCACCGUCUUCUCUCUUUUUUGGUUUACUUGUUUCAAAGGAUCAUUUUCGAAGGUAAAAUUCGUAGUUAUCAUCAUCAUAGGUAAGCCUAAAAGUGAAAGCUUCUCUCUAUUUGUGUACUUGUAACAGUUUGUAAACAUGGAACUUUUCUGGCUGUAGGGGUUGGCAUUGCAUUUAUUAUGUUCCUGGUCGCAAUGCAAGCAUUUUUUUUUUCAGAUUUUCGAAGCUCUCAAUUUUAAAAGGGUUCGCUAGCACUUCAGACAGUUUAACAAUGAUUAAUCUUAAUUUUCACAGAUUUCAGUUUUAGGGUUUACUAAAUGUUUACAGUAAUUUGUUUUGAUGAUGUAGCCUGCUUAACAUCCUGCAAGAUUCGGAAAUGGAGAAACAGGCGACAGUUUUCCAAAUUUCCUUAGACGAAUCUGAGCUACGCGUUUUGGGUUUUAUACGGCCUGCAUUAUGAGGACUACACAUAAAUGUAGAUGAAAUUGCACCAACUAUAAAGUAUGGAAGGAUCUACUACGUCAACAGAAGCACCCAACUAAGAUCUGCCAAAAUCCAAGAGUUGGUGAUUCGGUGAACAUGGUAGUGUUAAUCAUUUGUCGAAGGACCUGACGUUGGAUCUUGAGUUUUGAACCUUCACGCUCAGAUAUAAACAAUACUGCUUAUUUUUGAGUAAAACGGCAUGAAUGAGGUGACAGAUAUGGUUCCCAUAGUCUAUGCUGACUCCUGAGUGUCAUAUGUUUAUCUCAUUCUCUAGGGUUUCUAGGCAAUGUCCUAAUUGCAGUUGUGAACCCAUCAAUACACCAGGAAGAGAUGGAUGAUAAUAUUGCUGCUCAUGCUAAACAGGCGUUCUCUCAUGUUGAAAAUAAUCCCAACUACCCCACUUAAUUUACCAUGCCUAUACCCUCCGUAUGGUCAUCCAUAUCUGCAGAUAAUCCUCAGCAUUAAAUGGAAAUGCUCAGAGCUGAUCUUCAUUGGAUUUGAAUGGAUAUUUCUUGGAUCCUCAACCUGUUAUGUAUCACGUCAAUUGUCCUCUCAUGUUUCGCAUUAAUGUAAAAAUAUUACUUUUAAGUUA